GACGAACGCUGGCGGCGUGCUUAACACAUGCAAGUCGAACGAUGAAGCCCAGCUUGCUGGGCGGAUUAGUGGCGAACGGGUGAGUAAUACGUGAGUAACCUGCCUUUAACUCUGGGAUAAGCCUUGGAAACGAGGUCUAAUACCGGAUACGACCAACCCUCGCAUGAGGUGUUGGUGGAAAGGGAUUUUGUACUGGUUUUAGAUGGGCUCACGGCCUAUCAGCUUGUUGGUGAGGUAACGGCUCACCAAGGCGACGACGGGUAGCCGGCCUGAGAGGGUGACCGGCCACACUGGGACUGAGACACGGCCCAGACUCCUACGGGAGGCAGCAGUGGGGAAUAUUGCACAAUGGGCGCAAGCCUGAUGCAGCGACGCCGCGUGAGGGAUGACGGCCUUCGGGUUGUAAACCUCUUUCAGCAGGGGAGACGCGAAAGUGACGGUACCUGCAGAAGAAGCGCCGGCUAACUACGUGCCAGCAGCCGCGGUAAUACGUAGGGCGCGAGCGUUGUCCGGAAUUAUUGGGCGUAAAGAGCUUGUAGGCGGUUUGUCGCGUCUGCUGUGAAGCCCGGGGCUUAACCCCGGGUUUGCAGUGGGUACGGGCAGACUAGAGUGCAGUAGGGGAGACUGGAAUUCCUGGUGUAGCGGUGAAAUGCGCAGAUAUCAGGAGGAACACCAAUGGCGAAGGCAGGUCUCUGGGCUGUAACUGACGCUGAGAAGCGAAAGCAUGGGGAGCAAACAGGAUUAGAUACCCUGGUAGUCCAUGCCGUAAACGUUGGGCAUUAGGUGUGGGGAACAUUCCACGUUUUCCGCGCCGUAGCUAACGCAUUAAGUGCCCCGCCUGGGGAGUACGGCCGCAAGGCUAAAACUCAAAGAAAUUGACGGGGGCCCGCACAAGCGGCGGAGCAUGCGGAUUAAUUCGAUGCAACGCGAAGAACCUUACCAAGGCUUGACAUAUACUAGACCGCCUCAGAGAUGGGGUUUCCCUUCGGGGCUGGUAUACAGGUGGUGCAUGGUUGUCGUCAGCUCGUGUCGUGAGAUGUUGGGUUAAGUCCCGCAACGAGCGCAACCCUCGUUCUAUGUUGCCAGCACGUAAUGGUGGGGACUCAUAGGAGACUGCCGGGGUUAACUCGGAGGAAGGUGGGGAUGACGUCAAAUCAUCAUGCCCCUUAUGUCUUGGGCUUCACGCAUGCUACAAUGGCCGGUACAAAGGGUUGCGAUACUGUGAGGUUGAGCUAAUCCCAAAAAGCCGGUCUCAGUUCGGAUUGGGGUCUGCAACUCGACCCCAUGAAGUCGGAGUCGCUAGUAAUCGCAGAUCAGCAACGCUGCGGUGAAUACGUUCCCGGGCCU
rnacentral:rRNA from 1 species